CGCACAGUAAACUAUGGAUACUCUCUGCCGGCGAUACAUUGUCGGUGGCCAAGCGAAAGCGUUAAGUAUCCCACCUGGGGAGUACGUUCGCAAGAAUGAAACUCAAAGGAAUUGACGGGGGCCCGCACAAGCGGAGGAACAUGUGGUUUAAUUCGAUGAUACGCGAGGAACCUUACCCGGGCUUGAAAUGCAUCUGACCGGCAAAGAGAUUUGCUUUUUCCUCGGAACGGAUGCGUAGGUGC
rnacentral:rRNA from 1 species